rnacentral:tRNA from 1 species
UGUCGCGUGACUGAGAGGUUAGGUGGAGGUCUGCAAAACCUUUUAUGGUAGUUCGAAUCUACCCGCGGCGU